GAUGAAGAACGUAGCGAAAUGCGAUAAGUAGUGUGAAUUGCAGAAUUCAGUGAAUCAUCGAAUCUUUGAACGCACAUUGCGCCCUUUGGUAUUCCUUAGGGCAUGCCUGUUCGAGCGUCAUUUAAACCUUCAAGCUCAGCUUGGUGUUGGGUGACUGUCCGCUUCACCGCGGACUCGCCUCAAAAUUAUUGGCGGCCGGUACAUUGGCUUCGAGCGCAGCAGAAACGCGAACUCGGGCCCGUCGUAUUGGCUCCCAGAAGCUACCUUCACAAUUUUGACCUCGGAUCAGGUAGGGAUACCCGCUGAACUUAAGCAUAUCAAUAAGCGGAGGA
rnacentral:misc_RNA from 1 species